AGGCGGGGGAGGUGGUGCUACCCGAGGAUGCUGACCCCUUGCCACUGUCUGUGAACCAGGAAAAAGGCAGGAACGGGGAGCCCCCUGAUCUGCCGGAUCCCUCCACUGAUUCCCUGAAGAGAGAGUGUCCAGCAUGGGUGCCCAUCGGAGCCUUCACCAUCCUCCGCGGAGCUGGCACUGUCCCGAAGCCUGGAGCGGGACGGCCGGUGUCUCCGGCCCUUGGCCAACAGCUGGGCCCGGGCCUUGUGUAAACUGCUGUCCAGUCUGGCGGUCUCUGGCACAGCCAAGUCCAGCGCCACUUUUCAAGUGCUGCACCUCGGGAUGAAGCCGUCAUGCUGUACUAGUCCUGAGCUUGGCACUGGGGUCUCCAGACAGAAAGGGUCUUCCCAGGCUUCGAGAUGGGUCAAGACCUUUUUUCCCACUCCACCCGCCGUGCUCUGCGCCCUCCUCUGACAGCUCCCCCAGCUUCAUGCGCCGCCACCCGCAUGCAGAGCCGCACAGCGAAGCCUUGACCUCCUCCCCUGAAUUCUAAGCGUGGGCACUCAGGCACCAGGGAAGUUACCACGUCAAAGGCUCCAGGGCAUCUCAAGCUCAACUCACCAAAAUGAAUCUAUCAUGUGGCUUCAAACCAACUUCUCCACUCUUCCUUGACUCAGUGAAAAGCCCCCUUGUCCACCCAAGUUACCCAAGUCAGACAGCCCUAAGCCUUCUCUCUCAGCCCCAGACCCAGUUGGUAAUUCAUGUGUCCAACUGUCUAAUGACACUUCCACUUUGAAUGUCCACCAGGGGUCUUCAACCUGCAUGUGCUGCAACCUCCUCAUCUCUCCCACCCCAGAGCUCUUCCUCCCAGUCCUGGUGAACAGCAGCUCCAUCCUUCUAGUUGCUUGGCUGAACCCCUGGAGUCGUUCUCGACUGCUUCCUCUACCAUCCUACAAACAGAUUCAUUCACAAUCCCAUUAGCUCUACUUUCAAAAGCUAGCUAGACAUACUGAAAUAUUUAUGGUGAAGGGAUAUGAUGUUUUGGACUAGGUUCCAUAUAAUCCAGGGCAAUAGGGGUAGGGCAUGGAUGGGGAGAGAUGAAACUAGACUGGCCGUGACUGGGUCACUGCUGAGGCUGCGUGAUGAGUUCUUGAGUGCAUGAUAGAGUACACUGCACUGUUCUAAUUUUGAAUCUGUUUGAGAUUUUCCACAAUAAAUUAUUGUUUGUGUGUUCGAAUGUA